ensembl:ncRNA lncRNA:CR43962 long non-coding RNA:CR43962
GGGCAUCACUGUUCGGACAGUUUUACAACCUGUUAGCGUAAAUCUGCGCUUAAAGAAGUGCCGACAAUCAACAACAAACGCUGCAGACAAAAGGAACAAUUUGCUGACGUCACGCCGGAAUGCUGCGACAGGCGAACAAAAUUGAGAGUGAUUUCAGGGCGAAAAAUCAGGUGGAAAAUCGGGGAAGAAAAUGAUUAAAGAAAUAACGAGAACGUGGGGAAAAUACAUAGUUAGCCCGCCAAGAAAUCUACAUACGUAUAUAGUUCUGUUUAUUUCAUCAUUGUGAAUAUAGUACAUAUGUAUGUACGU